rnacentral:lncRNA from 1 species
AUAUUUCUCAAGUAUUAAAAAUAACUGCUACACUCUGAGUAAAGUAAAUAGCUUGUCAACCCCCUCUUUAUUAUGGGAACAACCACACUGGGAUAUAACAUGUGUUGGAAGAAGCGAUUAAAAAUGAUACAAACCAGUGCACCAAAAUUUUAAACAAAUUUUCACUAUUGACACAGAAAGAACACUCAUUGGGAAUAGCAAUAACAUCCACUUAUGCAAAGAUAUCUUUGACAUGCGAUGAAAACAUAACCUCUGGAUACGUAUUCUCUCUUUUAGGUUUUCAGUGGGAAUUGAGCGUAAGUGAUUAGGGCAGGAUUUGGUCCAAUAAAUAAAUAAACUGAAAAUUUUGUAACAAGUGGUGGAGUAAUACAUAUUAAUUCUGAACAGAUUGACACUGUAAUUUGGGAUAAAAACCAUAAUGAUUACAGAACACAGUCAGUGUAAGUCAAGUCUGAUGGACUGGAACAGAUGUGUCCACCUGUUUAGAGCCCAGCUCUGCAUCACUUGGGAUGCAUAACGUGACUAGGACUGUAACGUUAGCUAUUUAGAAAGGUAUACAGGUUAGGAAAAAGGAGAGAUGUCAAAUUCUGGAUCAUUCUUUUGUUCUCCUAGGUAACUAUGAGGUCAAAAAUAUAAGAGGGCACACAAAGGGCUAAAAUAAAAGACAGUCCAGAGCAGAUGUAAAUCUUAUUUCAUGCCCUUCAUUGGAGAUAAUUUGGAAAGCGUCAUAAAGGAUAUUUCAAGGACAGAUGAAUUGAAUAGACUCAGUUUUCAUUUUCCUAAAGUUGAUAAAUUAUGUGUAAAUUAACUCAAUCUGACUUAAAAAAAACUGUAAAAUGAAUGAAGAAAGAUGGAAAAAGUCUCCAACAUUACAAUGUUCAUGCCUAGGGGAAUCCAUAUAUCUAACACCAUGUAAGAUCAGGCUUUUGUGACUAUUUAUCAUUUAAAAUCAUAGGGAAAUUUUUUUUGACAAAAUAUGCUCCAGGUCUAAAGACUAUACUGUGUGUCAUUAGGGGGUAAUUUAAUUUUUUUCUUAAGAUAGAAGGAAAUAUUUCUAGUAUGAUAAUAAAUAUGUCUUUUUAUUAUAGGAAAGUUUUCAUGUAGCGUCAUAAACAUUGUUCAUUUUAAAGAUGUAUAUUAUAGAUGUCGCUAUUAAAAUAUUCUUCUUGUAUCUGCUCCUCAAUCUUUCAUAUAAGAAUUUAUUAACAAAACCAAGUACAUGUAUGUUAUUUUCCUUUCCUUUAUUUUCUUUAUUAGCCUCAGAGCAUUUAAACAAUCUUUAACCUAUGGAGUAUCUAUCACUAUAAGGAUAAAAAAGCAUUAAAAAUUUAGUAUAUAGAAAGCAGUCUUUUAGCUCAUUUCUAACCUUCAGCUUUUGAGGAGGUAUUUUACAUUAAGAAAUUAAAAUAAAUUUAUUCAUCUUCUAGUAACAUUAUUUUUCUUGGAAUGAGGUAUUCAAAUUUCAUAAUGGGAAAAAUACAAGGCAGUUUAAUAAACUGAAGAUAUAUUCUCGGCAAAAAGCUAUCAACUGAGUAAAACCUAUCAGAAACACUCAAGAAGCUUUUUCAAUUUUACGUUAUCUUCCUGCCCCUUCAUGUUUGUGGAAAAACUAGGGGAAGAUUUUUUUUUUCAGUCAGUAUUCAUCAAUAUACUCGACAGAAACUUCAACAAUCCAAAGAUAUCACUGGCUAAACACCACUAUAGACUUUUAAAAAAUGGUUUGAUUUCUUGCACUCAAGGAAGUGUAAAAAUUUAAUGCAUAUACAAAAAGAAGACACAACUUGUAUAAAUAUAUGAGACAUAUGCAGGUGUUCCAUUUCAAAGACAACAGAAUAGCUCAUUUGGGGGUAACUGAGUAUUUGCCAGAGAUUCCUGCUUUCAGCUCAAAAAGUUAAAAGGGUUCAGAAAAAUUAUGUGUCUUAUAUGAUUCUGCAUGUAAUAUGUUUCAUUAUCUCAUAAAAAGUGUUCCUGCCUUAUUUUACAAUAUUUAAGAAGUAAUUAUAUAGAAAUAAAUGUUAUAAAUCAUCACCUAAUAAUGACAGUACUAUUAAAUUACACAUACAAUAUAUUGUAAUAGAAGAUGACUAAGGCUUUUUGUGUUUAAAUCAGUAAUUUUCAAUUCUGGCAGUGCAUCGGCUGGGAAAUUUUAAAAUAAUACUGAAGUCUCAUUCCUCAGCCCUCCCUCCUGAGAUUUUGAUAUAAUUGGCUGGAGAUGGGGACCAGGGAUAGAAUUUUAAAUAUCUCUCCAGUUCAUUUUAUUGUGAAGUCAGUGUUGAGAAACACAAAAUCUUGUUUUAUCUGUUUUUGAAUCAGUAAGUUCUUGUGAGGAAAAAAAGUAAACAAAAUAGAAAGAUAUAUAUAUUGCAAAGUUUUUAAAUAAACUAUUAGCCAACAAAUGAGAAAAAGGUGGAAACAUAAAGAAUACUUAGACAGUCCAAAAGUAUUCAGGAAAAUGAACAAAUGGAACCAAAGAACAGAAGUUGCAAAGAGGUAAUACACAGCAGGAUGUACUAUUUGAUUUCAGGAUUUACUAUGAAGUUCAGCAAUCAAGACAGUGUACUUUUGGCAUUAAUAUAGAGAAACGCAUCAGUGGAACAAAAUAGUUCAGAAGUAGACCUAUACAAACAUGUACAACUUAAUUUUGAAAAAAGAGAAAAACAAUUUUGUGGGGAGACAACAGUUCAAAAAAGAGAGUGGUGUGGGAUAAUUGCAUAUAAAUAUGCAAAAUAACCCACUUUGAUUGAUGCCUUUUAUCAUAUGUAAAAGUAGCUCAAAAUUGAUUAUAGAUAUAUAUAAAAUCAAACAUUAUAAAACUUCUAGAAGAAAUUAUAGGAAAACUUUCAUGAUCCUGUAUAAGGUAAAGAUUUCUGAGACACAACAAUCAAAAGCACAAUCAAUAAAAAUUCAUCAAGUCCAUGAUUUUCUUUUCUGAGGAGAUGUUCAUUUGUGCUGGAUAUUAGAUUCCAGUUAUAAGUGAUAUCAUAUGGUAUUUGUCUUUGUCUUUCUGGCUCAUUUCACUCAGUAUGAGAUUCUCUAGCUCCAUCCAUGUUGCUGCAAAUGGACUUGUGGCUGCCUGAUGGGAGGGGGAGGGAGUGGGAAGGAUUGGGAGCUUGGGCUUAUCAGACACAACUUAGAAUAGAUUUACAAGGAGAUCCUGCUGAAUAGCAUUGAGAACUUUGUCUAGAUACUCAUAUUGCAACAGAAGAAAGGCUGGGGGAAAAAUGUAAUUGUAAUAUAUACAUGUAAGGAUAACCUGACCCUCUUGCUGUACAGUGGGAAAAUAAAAAAAAAAUUCAUCAAAAUUUAAAAACACUUUUAUUUGAAAGACACUAUGAGGAGAAUGAAAAGACAAAAUACAAACUGAGAGAAACAUUUGCAAAGUGUUUAUCUGAGAGAUGACUUUUACCCAAAAUGUGUAAAUAUCUAGCAAAACUCAAUAAUAACAAAAAUUGAUUAAAGAAUGAGGAAGAUAAUUUGAGUACACACUUAACCAAAGAUGAUAUACAGAUGAUGAUAAGCAGAAAAAUGUCCAACAUCAUUAAUGAAUAGAAAAUUGCAAAUUCAGGGAGUUUUUGUCUUGGCUAAGUGGUGAGAGAACCCAAUUAGUGCCCAAGAGGACAUGGGUUCGAUCCCUGGCCUCGCUCAGUGGGUUAAGGAUCUGGUGUUGCAGCGAGCCAUGGUAUAGUUCGCAGACAUGGCUUAGAUCCUGUGUUGCUGUGGCUGUGGCAUAGGCCUGCAGCUACAGCUCAGAUUUGACACCUAGCCUGGGAACCUCCAUAGGCUGUGGGUGUGGCCCUAAAAAGACAAAAG